GCGCUCGUAGCUCAGCUGGAUAGAGCGCAAGCUUGCGGAGCUUGAGGUCGCAGGUUCAACUCCUGCCGAGCGCACCA
rnacentral:tRNA from 1 species